AUGAAUCUUCGUGGCGGGUCCUCCCAGUCAUCUGCAAAUGCAGUCGGACGUGGGCGCUCCAACAACAGAAACGGCGGCGGCGGCAGUGGUGACCGCGGCCGCGGCAGGCAAGGCGGCGGCGGCGGUGACCGUGGCCGCGGCAACUUCUCCAAGCCAUCCAACCGUGGCGGCGGCAUUGGUGGGGGUGGGAACUACAACAACAAUCCCACCACCAAGCUGACAUGCCAGAUCUGCGGCAAGGUGGGUCAUCCAGCGUGGAAGUGCUGGAAGCGCUAUGACUCCACCUACCAGGGAGGAGAAGAGCGCUCGGCGAAUAUGACUGCACCGCAAUAUGGGGUGGACACCAACUGGUACAUGGACAGUGGUGCCACUGACCACAUCACCGGCGAUUUGGAGAAGCUCACCGUCCGGGAGAGGUACACCGGCAACGACCAAAUCCAUGCAGCCAAUGGGUCAGGAUCUGGAAACGAGGAGGGUUCUACUUCGAGGCAGGGGUAG
rnacentral:rRNA from 1 species